AUCUGCAGAGGGAGUUUUGGGUAAAGUCUGGUUUAAGUUCCUUGGAACAGGACGUCAUAGAGGGUGAGAACCCCGUCAGUGACCAAUCACCAACCCAUGUGAAACCCCUUCGACGAGUCGAGUUGUUUGGGAAUGCAGCUCCAAAUGGGUGGUAAAUUUCAUCUAAAGCUAAAUAUUGGCCGGAGACCGAUAGCGCACAAGUAGAGUGAUCGAAAGAUGAAAAGCACUUUGGAAAGAGAGUUAAAUAGUACGUGAAAUUGUUGAAAGGGAAGCGCUUGUGACCAGACCUGUGCAUAGGUGAUCAGUUGGUAAAAUUUUUUUUUUUAACCAAUGUACUCAUCUAAAGCCAGGCCAGCAUCGGUUUUGGCGGCGGGACAAAAGCGUGGAGAAUGUAACUCUCUCUUGGGUGAGUACUUAUAGCUCGUCAUGAAAUGCCGCCAGCCGAAACCGAGGACCGCGCUUUUGGCUAGGAUGCUGGCGUAAUGGUUGCAAGCGACCCGUCUUGAAACACGGACCAAGGAGUCUAACAUCUAUGCAAGUGUUUGGGUGUAAAACCCAGGCGCGGAAUGAAAAGUGAAUGGAGGUGGGAACCCUUAAAGGGGGGUGCACCAUCGACCGACCCCGAUGUUUUCGGAUGGAUUUGAGUAUGAGCAU
rnacentral:rRNA from 1 species